UACGAAGGGGGCUAGCGUUGCUCGGAAUUACUGGGCGUAAAGGGCGCGUAGGCGGUUCUAUAAGUCAGGCGUGAAAUUCCUGGGCUUAACCUGGGGGCUGCGCUUGAGACUGUGGGACUUGAGGUCAGAAGAGGGUCGUGGAAUUCCCAGUGUAGAGGUGAAAUUCGUAGAUAUUGGGAAGAACACCGGUGGCGAAGGCGGGUCUCUGGGCCGAUACUGACGCUGAGGAGCGAAAGCGUGGGGAGCGAACAGG
rnacentral:rRNA from 1 species